GCCAGGGUAGCUCAAUGGCAGAGCAGAGCUUUCGUAAAGCUCAGGUUGUGGGUUCGAAUCCCAUCCCUGGCUCCA
rnacentral:tRNA from 1 species